UACAGAGGGCUCGAGCGUUGUUCGGAUUCAUUGGGCGUAAAGGGUGCGUAGGUGGCGCUGUAAGUCGGGUGUGAAAUCCUGAGGCUUAACCUCGGAACUGCAUUCGAUACUGCGGUGCUUGAGGACUGGAGAGGAGACUGGAAUUCAUGGUGUAGCAGUGAAAUGCGUAGAGAUCAUGAGGAAGACCAGUGGCGAAGGCGGGUCUCUGGACAGUUCCUGACACUGAGGCACGAAGGCCAGGGGAGCAAACGGG
rnacentral:rRNA from 1 species